rnacentral:rRNA from 1 species
UAGGGAAUAUUGGGCAAUGGAGGCAACUCUGACCCAGCCAUGCCGCGUGAAGGAUGACGGCGCUCAGCGUUGUAAACUUCUUUUAUCAGGGAAGAAAAGCAGGGGUGCGCCCUUGUGUGACGGUACCUGAGGAAUAAGCACCGGCUAACUCCGUGCCAGCAGCCGCGGUAAUACGGAGGGUGCAAGCGUUGUCCGGAUUUAUUGGGUUUAAAGGGUGCGCAGGUGGGCGACUAAGUCUGAUUUGAAAGCUAGCGGCUUAACCGUUAGAUGUGGUUGGAAACUGGUGGUCUUGAAUGGCGUAGCGGGAGCCGGAAUGGGUCAUGUAGCGGUGAAAUGCAUAGAUAUGACCCGGAACACCGAUUGCGAAGGCAGGCUCCUGGGCGCUGAUUGACACUGAGGCACGAAAGCAUGGGUAGCGAACA